rnacentral:rRNA from 1 species
GAUGAACGCUGGCGGCGUGCCUAAUACAUGCAAGUCGAGCGAACAGACGAGGAGCUUACUCCUCUGACGUUAGCGGCGGACGGGUGAGUAACACGUGGAUAACCUACCUAUAAGACUGGGAUAACUUCGGGAAACCGGAGCUAAUACCGGAUAACAUGUAGAACCGCAUGGUUCAACAGUGAAAGACGGUCUUGCUGUCACUUAUAGAUGGAUCCGCGUCGCAUUAGCUAGUUGGUAAGGUAACGGCUUACCAAGGCAACGAUGCGUAGCCGACCUGAGAGGGUGAUCGGCCAAACUGGAACUGAGACACGGUCCAGACUCCUACGGGAGGCAGCGGUAGGGAAUCUUCCGCAAUGGGCGAAAGCCUGACGGAGCACCGCCGCGUGAGUGAAGAAGGUCUUCGGAUCGUAAAACUCUGUUAUUAGGGAAGAACAAAUGUGUAAGUUACUAUGCACGUCUUGACGGUACCUAAUCAGAAAGCCACGGCUAACUACGUG